CCUGGCUCAGAACGAACGCUGGCGGCGCGCCUAAUACAUGCAAGUCGAGCGAGAAGGUGUAGCAAUACACUUGUAAAGCGGCGAACGGGUGAGGAAUACAUGGGUAAUCUACCAUCGAGUGGGGAAUAACCAGCCGAAAGGUUGGCUAAUACCGCGUACGCCUCCGGAUCUUCGGGUUCGGAGGGAAAGCCACACUGUGAGUGCGGCGCUCUUUGAUGAGCUCAUGUCCUAUCAGCUUGUUGGUAGGGUAACGGCCUACCAAGGCUUUGACGGGUAGCUGGUCUGAGAGGACGAUCAGCCACACUGGCACUGCGACACGGGCCAGACUCCUACGGGAGGCAGCAGUAAGGAAUAUUGCGCAAUGGGACGAAAGCCUGACGCAGCGACGCCGCGUGGGGGAUGAAGGUCUUCGGAUUGUAAACCCCUUUCGGGAGGGAAGAUGGAGCGAGCAAUCGUUCGGACGGUACCUCCAGAAGCAGCCACGGCCAACUUCGUG
rnacentral:rRNA from 1 species